UACGUAGGGUGCGAGCGUUAAUCGGAAUUACUGGGCGUAAAGCGUGCGCAGGCGGUUUUGUAAGGCAGAUGUGAAAGCCCCGGGCUUAACCUGGGAAUGGCAUUUGGGACUGCAAGGCUUGAGUGCGGCAGAGGAGACUGGAAUUCCUGGUGUAGCAGUGAAAUGCGUAGAUAUCAGGAGGAACACCGAUGGCGAAGGCAGGUCUCUGGGCAUUAACUGACGCUGAGGAGCGAAAGCAUGGGGAGCGAACAGG
rnacentral:rRNA from 1 species